rnacentral:rRNA from 1 species
UACCAGCACCCCGAGUGGUCGGGACGUUUAUUGGGCCUAAAGCAUCCGUAGCCGGUUCUACAAGUCUUCCGUUAAAUCCACCUGCUUAACAGAUGGGCUGCGGAAGAUACUAUGGAGCUAGGAGGCAGGAGAGGCAAGCGGUACUCGAUGGGUAGGGGUAAAAUCCGUUGAUCCAUUGAAGACCACCAGUGGCGAAGGCGGCUUGCCAGAACGCGCUCGACGGUGAGGGAUGAAAGCUGGGGGAGCAAACCGG